GGGGGGUGCGGGAGGCUGGCAGACCCCCCCCCCUCCCCCGCAGCAGGUCUUCACUCUCUGGGCUCUCCGGCCUUCUCUGGUGGCCUCUGCUGCUCUUUCGUUCUUGCUGUCUCUGCUUCUGCUCUCCUGGCGUCCUUGUCCCGGCUACGCCGCCCUUCCAAGCCCAGUCUCAGCCCAGGUGCCCCCUCUUAGGCAUGCCCACGCCCCACUCCAGGGGCACCAUCGGGCGUGCAUGCAGGACAGCAGGGAGCCAUCAUCAAGCCUAAUGGCAGGAGGGCAGAAAAGCCUGGUUCUUUUUAUUUGCCCCACACCUGCCGCUGAGGGGUCCCUCCCUCGGAGCCGGGGGUCCCAGCUGCGCCAGGGGAUCCUCGCCAGAGACAGGCCCUGCACCCUGAUGGGGCACUCCCUGGGGCGGGGACACGGUUCACAAGCAGCACUGAGUGAGCAUCGCCCAAGACUCCUUGUGCCCCACAGCCCUUUUGUUAUAGGGCAGCCCCGAUAUUAGCUUUAGGACAUCCUUUCCCCCCUAACACAGCUCUUUUAGGGGGCAGUAGAGGGGAGCGCCCUCAUUGGGGGCAGACCCCAUGUAGGGGGGAGUGCUUGAUCCCCCUGUGAUCCUUCCCCUCCGCCCUUUGCAGGCGGGAAACAGGCCCCAGGUGGCCGCCGCGUCCAGUGCUGUCCGCUGCACAGAUGGCGCGAGCGCCCCUCGUCUGUGGCCUAAGUGCAUGGAAUAGCCGGAGGGGAGCAAGAAGGGUUAACGUUAUACCGAGGAGAAGAGAACUGGGAUACUGGCCAGAGAGGCAGGAGGUGAGAGGAUUCACCAGAGACAGAGUGGGGAGCAGAACAGGCGGAUCUAUUGAAACACACUGCUGAGGGGAGCAGCAGGAGAGGCAGGCCUUGCAUAGAAGAACUGAGGAGCAGGAGUGGACACAAGACCUUCUCUCCUGAGUUAGGAGCCCUGUUCAGAGCUGCUGACCUGCCAGGCCAAGCUCCUCUCCUCUCACAAGAUCCGUAAUUUACAAGUCCCGUCGCACUGAACUGAAAUCAAGGUUUGGGCAGGACUGCAAUUCCUGUCUGGAAUUUGGAGGCUCUGGAGACAAAUCUCUUUGCUUUUUCCAGCUUUUGGAGAAAAUUCUUCCCUCCAACAUCCAGGAAACGUCCGCGAGGAGCCGCCCCCGAGCUUGCGCCUCGCAAGACAGCACUAGAUGGAGCCCGCGCGCCGGAGCCCAGGAGCGACCCUUCCAGCACGAUGGAGCGCGGCUCUGCCCAGAGCAAGCAGGGAGCAGCGGGAACUGGGCGGCUCCUGACCCCCAAGGAGCGCAAGGAGCCCAGAGCCCAGGACGGAGCUGGAGACAUUUCAGAUGGCACAGGAGCUGCCUGAGGGGCUGCUGUGGCAAAUGAAGCCUUCCCAGGGAGGAGAGUUGCAGAGGAAAGUUCCGCAGCCGCUCUGAGGGACUGUGGCUGGGCCUGGAGACCAUCUGGCAGGCUGCAGCUAUUCACUGAGCACACCAUGCCUCAGAGGCCCGGUGGCGAGGCAGUCAGCCAGGACCCAAGUUGGGGUCAGGGAGAACAGCCUGGAGGAGGUGAUGUGUGAGCUGGGGCGGGAGGGAUGUGUGUUCUAGCUGGACAAGCAGUGAGGCAAGGGCCAGGGGUGGAACGGAGGGAGUCCGGGAGGCCUGGCCCUCGGUCUGGGUUGGAGGAAGGAGUCUGAGCGCAGGGCCAGUGAUGAGCGCUGUUGUGCGUGGGAUGGGGAGAGGCCGUGCCCAGAACCUCCAGUAGUUCCCAGGCUGAGUAGAAGGUUCCCUGUGGUCACUGUGUAGGUGCGAGGGGCAGCCAAAGAAGGAAGCAGGGGCUUGUCGUGUUAGGCCUUUUCUGUGUCAGACUUUGCUUGAGAGUUUGAGUUUUAUCUUGAAGACGACGACGGGGCGCUAUGGAAGGUGUGAAGGGGGGACAGGUAAGAAGUCUUCUUGAUUAAGAACUGUGGAGACUGGCUGGGCGGGGACACGCCUUGACGCAGGUGCCAGGCACACUCUGCAGGGGGCAGUGGAGGUCAGAACUGAGAAGAGGGAAGAAGGAAGGCGAGCUGGGGGUCUUGAGAAAGACAUUAGAGGAGCCCUUUGGGACCCCCGUGGCUGGUUUCCAGUCUGAGCACGACCACCCACCUGGGAGACAGAGUCACUUCCUCUUGUUUCUGUUCAGGAAGAUGCUCAACCUCACGCUUUCCCCAGGGUCACCCGCGAACAGCCGCGAACAUUAAAAGCAUCCAUAAAAGAGACACUGCAGAUUUUGUUGGCCGUAAACCUCAAAGAUGAAUUUUCUCUCCCAUUUUAUGAGUAUAGGUUUUCACGCCUUCGUAAUGAGGGUUGGUCCCUCCACUCCCCACUGACUCCCCCCUAAGGUGAUGAUUCGAGUUGUCAGCUCAGUCGGGACAAGACCUGGCACAAGCCACGGUGACUGGCUUCUGGAAUGACAGAGGUGCUGAGCUCUUCACACGCUGGCAGGGGGCCACUUUCACCCUCUCCUCCGAGCUUCUUGGGCUGCAGAUGGGGUCUCCUGUGGGGAACUUGGGUGGGGCUUCUGAGGCCACAUGAGAUGCGGUGGUACCAAAAAGACCCCACCAAGGGUCAGAAAGAACAGAUGUUCUUUCCGUUAAGAAAUGUGGAUUUUGCAAAAAAGAUAAACACAUGCAAUUUGCAGCAACAUGGAUGG